rfam:Camelus ferus unplaced genomic scaffold scaffold2375, whole genome shotgun sequence.
GUAUAUAUAGCUCAAUGGUAGAGCGUGUGCUUACCAUGCAUGAGGCACUGGGUUCAAUCCCCAGUACCUCUA